rnacentral:rRNA from 1 species
AAUCAACGCUGGCGGCGUGCCUAACACAUGCAAGUCGAACGAGAAAGUGGGGGCAACUCCAUGAGUACAGUGGCAGACGGGUGAGUAACACGUGAACAAUCUACCCUUGAGUGGGGAAUAACACCGCGAAAGCGGUGCUAAUACCGCAUAACAUCUCCGGAUCGCAUGAUCUGGAGAUCAAAAGCGCAAGUUGCUCGAGGAGGAGUUCGCGCCUGAUUAGCUAGUUGGUGAGGUAACGGCCCACCAAGGCAACGAUCAGUAGCCGGCCUGAGAGGGCGAACGGCCACACUGGAACUGAGACACGGUCCAGACUCCUACGGGAGGCAGCAGUGGGGAAUUUUGCGCAAUGGGCGAAAGCCUGACGCAGCAACGCCGCGUGGAGGAUGAAGGCCUUCGGGUCGUAAACUCCUGUCAGCGGGGACGAAUGCUUCGCAAGAAGUUUGACUGUACCCGCUGAGGAAGCCACGGCUAACUCCGUGCCAGC